AUAACUAUCUCUAUACCUGGGGCCUCCCUGGCAAAGCGGUAUCGCCGGUCCAAACGCUCUGUUAAGCGUGGAGGUAGCGGGUUCGAAUCCCGCCGUAACCCUGGAUGUAUUCUUUGUGAUGUCUUUCUCUGAAUUGUUCUAUCUGAAUUUUCUACUUGACAAUGACGUAGAAGCCUAUAUUGAGCACACAAGUCAGAAAAUGUAUGUAAUUUCAAUAAAUCAAUAAAUCAAAUCUCUAUACCUCAACUCGGUGUAACUGUAAAUAAUAAUCUAAAUCAGUUUUAAUUUUCUACUGCUCUGAGUUCAGAAGAUUUUAAAAAGGAAUUCUAUUUUAUUCAAAGGUUUUAAAUGCCAUACUUGUUUUUGACAACUUGAAUAAUUAACUGAUUGCGUAACUUAUGUUAUGGGUUAUGAACACGUCGAAUGGAUGCCUUUACCUAUGUAUCAAAUAAAUCAUCCAGAGUCACCUUUUGGUUUAAUGCAAGAAGUUGUGGAAAGAGUACGACGAAUAGUCAGAGUGAACAGCGUUAUUGAGUUUUACCGACAUUUUGAAACAUACAGUGGUAUGAACAAGUACAUAUUUCAUCUUCUGUGCAUGAAGCAUCGGAAUUUACUGAUGAGCAACUUUUCGGAGAUGAAUUUGUUGUUUUAUUGCGUAGAACUCUCCACGUUUGCUGGGUUAGCAUACGUUCGAAAUGUAGAAUUAGCUCCAUAUUUUGCUAUCUAUAACAUUUGUCGGGAAAUGUCUUAUUUUCGAAAUCAAUGGAUGUUUAGCGAUAUUACAUUUAGGACUUGGCAAAACUAUUCUCAAAACCUUGAUUACUUUAUCCCACGCUGAAGACAACCCUCCAAAGUAGGAAAAGAAACGUUAAUAUUGAGACAUAGCUUUCUAAAACAUGUAUUUGAUUCUAAAACGUUACCUCAACGUAAUGACGUAUAUUCUAAAUAUAACAAGAGUAUUAUGAUUAUUUUCAGCAAGAGCUUUCUACAACUGCAUGCAAAUGACAUAAUGAUAGUUAACUUACCGUUUACUUCAUUGAAUAGUAUUUAAGUACUAUGUAUCAGGCACAAUGAAGUACAGUGAGAAUUCUUUCAUCACUGAUUAUUUACAGGAAAAGCUUUCUGCAGUUGAAUGUAAAUUUCAUGUUAUGAAUUAACUUUACAUUGACUUCAUUUUGACUACAGUAUUUGAUAAUGAAAUACUAUAUAUCUGAUGUAAGCCAGUGUAGUGAGACUUUUUCAAGAAUAUAAGAAAUUCAUUGAAUAUUUAUAGAAAAAGCUUUCUACAACUGAAUGUAUAUGACAGGAUAUGAGUUAAUUUUGUAUUGACUUCACUUUGUCUAUAGUACUUUAUUAUGAAAUACUAUGUAUCUGAUACAUUCAAGUUCAGUGAGAAUUUUUCAAAAAUAUUCUAAUUAUUUACAACAAAGCUUUAUCUACAACUGAAUGUAAAUAUUAUGAGUUAGCUUUGCAUUAACUUCAUUUUGACUAGUAUUCGAAUUUAAAAUGCAAUACACCUGACGCAAUGAAGUUCAUUGUGAAAUUGACAAGAAAAUUCUAAUCAUUUACAACAAGAGCUUUUUGCAAUUGAAUGUAAAGGUCAUCAUGAGUUGACUUUACAUUGACUCCGCACAUUUACAUCGUCAUUGAUAAUCAUUCACUUUCACUUUUUAUACGCUUGGGAUAUUGUGUACAGUUUUCUAAGAUGGUAAAAUAAUAGUUUUAGUAAGUUUUUAAAAAAAAUUUUUUUAAUGUUAGUGACGUUAUCAAACAUUCACUUCAUUUUCUAUUGAUCAAAUAUUUAUAUUAAUAAUUUAUAAGGACCACUCAGAUAUGAAUUUGAUGUUCUUUCGUAAACAGCUUCCUACUAUGCCCAUCAUUAAAAACCUCAAAUCAUUGAGAAAGAAGCAUUUUCAUCAUUGACGAUUUUGGAAUUAAUUGUAAAUGAUUUUGGCACGCUAAUUUGUAAUAAUAGCAAUGACUAUCGCCAAUAAUUUUCGUGUCUAAUUUUCCAAUAUCUUAUAUAACUAAUAAUAAAAUGUUUAAAUAAUUGCUUUUAAAAAAUUUGCCAACUGAUAAUAAUGCAAAGAAAGAUUUUUUAGUCUGUUUUGUAUUACAUUUUUAAUUAUUGUUCAAUGAAUAUUUUCAACUCUUUGUUAUUGUAAGAGUGACUUAGUGAUGACUUUUAGGCUUAUUAACAUAAGUACGUGUCAUUUUAAUCGAUGCAUUUUAUUUUGGUUUUAUUAAAUACAAUUCAUUUUCA